GAUGGAUUGGUGUAUGGUACAAGAAAUUGGAAGACCUAAGGAGAAACCACUGUCACUUGCUCUGCCACCAGAGGGCAGUCACUGCAAACACACAGGGUCUAGAGGAGAGAUGGAGAGGAUUGAAUAAGUAGUCUGCAUAGCUUUCGGAACUGGAUCUGGAAGAGAUGGAACUCAGAGAUUCCCUCAGGCCUUCUGAUGAUGUCCUGGGUAAAUUCAGCCUGGCAGCCGACAUGGAAGAAGUGGGCAUGGAUUCCCCAGAGAAUUUCAACCCAGACUGACUGAUGGAAGGGCCGAGACACAGAAAGUGCUUCUCAGAAGGCAGCUCAAUAUGGCGGCUGGUGUUACUCCUACAAAUGCACCUCCUUGUAUCCUGAAGCCUUGGAGGCCAUUGUCACAGUUCAGGACAGUGAUCCAUCCCUUCCCAAAUCAGCCAGAAUUAAAUGGCCUGAAAUCUUCGAGGCCCCAGGAACAUACACUUCUAGAUCAGCACUUCUCUUCUUUUAACACAGCUUCUCAUGUCUUUGACCACACAGGCCAUCCCUGUCAGGGGUAGAUCCUGAGCUCAGGGAUUGAGCUCUGGGAAGCACUGGCCUCUCUGUCAUAAUUGCUCCUCCUCUCUGGGAACACAGACCCAUGCAUCAACCCCCACUUUGCAGCAGCAGGCUUGAGUCCUAUAAUUAUAAGCAUGAUGAAGUCUGUCUCAGCUGGAGCCAGAUGGGAACUAUGCUAUGAAAGCCCCUAAUUACACAUCUCUGCAAGGAGAACCAGAUCUUACCAAGGACUCUGGAUGAAUAAGCACG
rnacentral:lncRNA from 1 species